UUGGCUGGAAACGAAUCGUCCCUGAGCAGGGAACGUGUUAAUUGGUUGGAACCAUUUUGUCCCGCCCCCUUUCUUGGGAGCCGAGGCUUGACGUUGGCUGAAGUGGAAGUCAUUUAAAAUCUACGGAAGACAGUCGUCAUAGCGAACCGUUGACGUCGCAGAUGCAGCGGCCAGCUGUUACUGGUCGCGUCACUCCCUUUGCCAGCUGAUCCAAGCAGGGCUCGAUACACCGGUAAACGUGAGAGGCGAGAACGGAGGAAUCACUUUACCGGUGAGGUUUGUAGUGGAUGCUGAUGAGUGAAUAUUGGCUGACCUACCGCAGUUCUUCUCUGGCAAACUUUAUGACCCUGUCCUGACGCUAAAGCUGCCAGCUGAAGAACUGUUGUGGUCAGCUCUACCCAGCAUGCACCAUUUUCAUCUGAGAGUGCUAUGGAUCUAAUUCAUUCUGGACCGUCUCUGUCAUAGAUCUUUGAUGAUAUUUUACAAUUCACUUUUCUUUGUUUUUAUCAUUGAAACAAAACAUCUUAAACUGAGAAAAUAUUUCGUAGGAAAAUGUAAAAAAAUAUUAAAUUUUUGACUUGAAUUUUAAAAUGUUUUCAAAUUGUCAAGUUCUUAAACAUGUUUGAACUUUGAAUUGUUUUUGAAAUAUGAAUUUAAAUCCAUGGUCUGUUUUUGUUUUUUGAUAUCAAUAUUAAUAUCAAAAUAACAAUAACAAAUGAAUGAGAGUUUUAUAAUGUACAUUCAAUGUAUGUAGUAUAUUUUGCAUGGCAAAAAAGUAUUACCCCCAGAUUCACAGACCACGCUUAACUUGCUCCCAGACUAAAAUGCAUGUUUGAACUGUCUCAACUGAAAAUAUAUUGCUCUGACAUAUCUUAAAAUAUAUCAGUGUCAUUGCUCUGUCAAGAUGCACACAUGUAAUGUUUUCUUUUAAGGCAUUAAUUUAACUAAGGCCUAGUCCUGGCUUAAGCUAAGACCCGUUUGUGAAACUUUAAGUAUUUCUUUUGUAAACAACUUAAAAAUCACAAUUUCAUACAAGAGUCACCUAUUUAUGUAGGCCUAAAUUAUUGUGAUCUUGGUCUGGUUUAAGUGUUAUGUAAGAUAAGACCGACAGAGGGCGUCAUUGGUCGGUUGAACAUGAGGCCAAGCUGGAUCUUCUGCCUGUUCAUUAAGCACAUACAUUUACUCAAAUGCUUUCCAACCUUUCAGUUCUUGUUUUUUUUUUCACUCUUAUGUCCACAUUCUUUAAGAUAUAUGACAAAGAGAGGCUAUGAAUAAAGAUAACUUUGAAUCUCA